rnacentral:rRNA from 1 species
UAGGGAAUCUUCCACAAUGGACGCAAGUCUGAUGGAGCAACGCCGCGUGAGUGAAGAAGGUCUUCGGAUCGUAAAGCUCUGUUGUUGGUGAAGAGGGAUAGAGGCAGUAACUGGUCUUUAUUUGACGGUAAUCAACCAGAAAGUCACGGCUAACUACGUGCCAGCAGCCGCGGUAAUACGUAGGUGGCAAGCGUUGUCCGGAUUUAUUGGGCGUAAAGCGAGCGCAGGCGGAAUGAUAAGUCUGAUGUGAAAGCCCACGGCUCAACCGUGGAACUGCAUCGGAAACUGUCAUUCUUGAGUGCAGAAGAGGAGAGUGGAACUCCAUGUGUAGCGGUGGAAUGCGUAGAUAUAUGGAAGAACACCAGUGGCGAGGGCGGCUCUCUGGUCUGCAACUGACGCUGAGGCUCGAAAGCAUGGGUAGCGAACAGGAUUAGAUACCCUGGUAGUCCAUGCCGUAAACGAUGAGCGCUAGGUGUCGGGGACUUUCCGGUUCUCAGUGCCGCAGCAAACGCAUUAAGCGCUCCGCCUGGGGAGUACGACGCAAGGUUGAAAC